GACGAACGCUGGCGGCGUGCUUAACACAUGCAAGUCGAACGGAAAGGCCCUGCUUUUGUGGGGUGCUCGAGUGGCGAACGGGUGAGUAACACGUGAGUAACCUGCCCUUGACUUUGGGAUAACUUCAGGAAACUGGGGCUAAUACCGGAUAGGAGCUCCUGCUGCAUGGUGGGGGUUGGAAAGUUUCGGCGGUUGGGGAUGGACUCGCGGCUUAUCAGCUUGUUGGUGGGGUAGUGGCUUACCAAGGCUUUGACGGGUAGCCGGCCUGAGAGGGUGACCGGCCACAUUGGGACUGAGAUACGGCCCAGACUCCUAUGGGAGGCAGCAGUGGGGAAUAUUGCACAAUGGGCGGAAGCCUGAUGCAGAAACGCCGCGUGCGGGAUGACGGCCUUCGGGUUGUAAACCGCUUUCGCCUGUGACGAAGCGUGAGUGACGGUAAUGGGUAAAGAAGCACCGGCUAACUACGUG
rnacentral:rRNA from 1 species